rnacentral:rRNA from 1 species
UACGGGGGGGCAAGCGUUGUUCGGAAUUACUGGGCGUAAAGGGCUCGUAGGCGGCCAACUAAGUCAGACGUGAAAUCCCUCGGCUUAACCGGGGAACUGCGUCUGAUACUGGAUGGCUCGAGAUUGGGAGAGGGAUGCGGAAUUCCAGGUGUAGCGGUGAAAUGCGCAGAUAUCAGGAGGAACACCGAUGGCGAAGGCAGGUCUCUGGGCAUUAACUGACGCUGAGGAGCGAAAGCAUGGGAGCGAACAGG